rnacentral:rRNA from 1 species
GACGAACGCUGGCGGCGUGCUUAACACAUGCAAGUCGAACGGAAAGGCCCUGCUUGCAGGGUACUCGAGUGGCGAACGGGUGUGUAACACGUGGGUGAUCUGCCCUGCACUUCGGGAUAAGCCUGGGAAACUGGGUCUAAUACCGGAUAGGAGCCAUUUUUAGUGUGAUGGUUGGAAAGUUUUUUUCGGUGUAGGAUGAGCUCGCGGCCUAUCAGCUUGUUGGUGGGGUAAUGGCCUACCAAGGCGGCGACGGGUAGCCGGCCUGAGAGGGUGGACGGCCACAUUGGGACUGAGAUACGGCCCAGACUCCUACGGGAGGCAGCAGUGGGGAAUAUUGCACAAUGGGCGCAAGCCUGAUGCAGCGACGCCGCGUGGGGGAUGACGGCCUUCGGGUUGUAAACUCCUUUCGCUAGGGACGAAGCUUUUUGUGACGGUACCUAGAUAAGAAGCACCGGCUAACUACGUG